GCAAGAGGCAAAAGAGAAAUACAGAUGAAUCUGAUUAUGGGGACUUAAAGAAACAUCACUAAGAGAAUCAUCACUGAGAAAUUAAACUUGCAGCUGUAUCCCAAUGCAGUCAAAAGAGUGAGAGAUAUAGAGGGGAAGAGAGAUGGAUGAUCACAUGUAGACAAGAGUGUUCAGUUAAUCAACAGUAAAAAAUGUAAUCAACUGCAAAAAAUGUUGUAGCCUUUCUUUUUUUUUUUUUGUACUGAUGGAAAAUAACCUUGUUCUUAUUCUGAAAAUUGAACUAAUUAAUAAUCUAAAUUAAAAUCUAAAUGUUUUAUUAUUUGUUAA